rnacentral:tRNA from 2 species
GCCCCGAUAACUCAACUGGAUAGAGCACCGGUCUUCUAAACCGGGGGUUCCAGGUUCGAGUCCUGGUCGGGGCGCCA